rnacentral:lncRNA from 1 species
AAUUUCUCCCAAUGGUUAUUUAUUACUUUUGCCAUCAAGAAAAAGUAAAACCAUUUUUGAAAUGUUACAUCCAUAUCACUCAACAUAAAGGUUUAUUUUGUAAUUUGAUUUCUUUCUAUAUAGCAGGAUAGUGUGUGUGUGUAGUAAUUAUUUAUACCAUGCCAUAUGUUACAAUGAAGAUGAAAUUCAGUAACUAUAUUCCUCCCAACUGGCAUGGAAAAUGAAGAGGUUAAAUGCUUUCCUAGGUUCAAAGCACUAUGAAUUAAGAUGAGCUAACUGUGAAGCUAAAGGAAAAAUUAAUCCCAGUACUGAGAUCUCUGAAAGCAUCUCUUUUGAAAAACACUGAUGUGACGCAUUGCUCCUUACAUCUCCCUGUGUUUAACCUCUAGCACAAAACAGAAGGUUUGAAAAUUCCUGGCAAAGCCUAGGGAGUUCAGGGAAUAAAAUUCAAAUAUUUUCUCAUUAAAAAAAAUCUGUUUUCCAUCUCAUUCCACAAAUUAUAAAAAAAAAAAAUUUAAAUAAAGACUGUCUCAUUUAAAGUGACAUUUCUGCCACAAAAGCAUUGGUGUAAGACUUCACUUGAUAAGACUAAUGCGUUGCUUGAAAAAAUCUAGCAUUGGUUUACCGAAAUGCUCAGCAAUAUAAAUUCAGUGCAUGUUAAUUAAAGUUUCUUAAAGGAGACAGGGAAGUAAAGGACAAAUGUAAUUACUCUGAAGAAGGAAAUGCCAGUGGCUACCUAGUUCAUACCUGAACAUACCUCAUCAGACCUGAUAUUUCUAGAAUUUACAGACACUUUCAGGAAAAGACAUUAUUUGGGGAAACUAUACAUUUUACUAUUAUGUCUAUAUACACAGUAAUAUUUCAACAUUUACAAUACACAAGACUAUCAAAUAUACACAACGGUUUCGCUUUACUAAGCUAAACUCAAAGUAUUUACCAUCUCGGUUUUUGUUGUUCAGCAUUGGAGCUUUUGCUUACAAAGGUGCGUCCCGAAGAGUCUCAAAUUUACCUGCUUUCUCUCACAGGGCAGUCCCAUCCAUUGCAAAAUUAACAAGUUAAUGAAAAGAAGAAGAAGAAAGAAUGUAACAUAAGGACUAUACAUACCACUCGCCAACCCCUCAGUGCCCACUCCCCACAACAACCUAUCUGCCUGUGCAAACUGAUCUCUAAAAGCCUGACCUGUUAAGCCAAAUCUAAUGGCUUCCUUUCAGUCUAACACUUUUGGACAGAACACACACAAACUUGUAGCUCAGUCUCUAACUCCAUUCGGACACUCACAAGCCCAGUUCUUAUGCUUCCAUCUUUCAUCCCCCUCUGCUGAGAAAAGGGCCGGAGGUGAGGUUUUACCUACUACUGCUUAUUGUGGCAGUUUCACUUUGGGACGGCUAAAGGGUAUUGAUCAGAAACUACCUGCAGAUCCAGCUGCUGAGCAUUGAUAAAUGCUGAGGGAACAAUUCCAAGCCAAUAACAAGACCCGAAAUACCUCCAAUUUGUAGCACGGAAACGCCACUUCUCUCCACGAGAGAGAAAGGAACAAUGUUCCUACUCCAUCAAAUUAAAAAAUAAUAAAAUUCAGCAGCUUCCCUUCUGAACAAAAUUACAUUUUCUGGGUCCCUUUUCUUCCGCGUCUCCCUGGGCCACUUCUUAUGCAGCCUGAUAGGGAUGGUAAACACCGUCUCCUGCAACCCGUUUAGUUGUCAUCCUCACAGAGCAAACACCUACUGCCCCUUUCCUGCCGCAGUCCCCGAACAGCAGACCUUACCACCCACCCCUGCUCUCCACACCUCACCGCUCGCUUUCUUUUCUUCCACACCACAAAUUCAGAGAAAAAGUUAAUGAACAUCGGCUUUAGAGGUGAAGCUGCCCUACCUGUGAUGACAGAAUCAGAAGAUUGUAAGUACCUAAAAAGCACGUACCCUCUGCAAGCUCGUCCCGGCCAAGGAGUGUCUCACACCCAGAAACCCAGGAACAUGAUUUAUAUGCAGACCUGCACCCAUCCCACACAACUCCACACGCCAGCUUGCCUAACCACUUAUGUAAUCUCGUGCCUUUACAGUCCCAAACUGCACACACACACACACACACACCGACACCUGUCACAUAUCUGAAAUGGACAAGCAUCCACACCCAGGAGAUGAAACGAAAUCGACACACAUGAAUGGAAGAGGGCAUAUCAUUUUAACACAUCCCUUCCCUCAUUUGUUUCUUGCCCAUUUUUUUUUGUCACAACUACAAUUACCUUAGCAACCAAAGAAUUGCCUUGACUCCCCCUCCGGCUUCUGAAUUUCUCCUAACGCCAAGCUUACGCCAGGUUCAUGGUACAGCUAGAGGAGCCCAGGGAUCGAGGGGCGGCAGCCUCUUGGGGGCGGAGGGGACGUCUGGGUCCGUCUCCGUGAGGUUCUCCAAGGUCUCGCCUGGUCUUUCCGACUUUCCGCGGUGGAGAGCGCGGGGGCUCAGAGAG